UCCUUCAACCUUGGGAAUAAACAAAUAGCCCUCAUAAUGAAAUCUAUUAAGCAGGGGCGUUCACCAAGCGAAGAAGAAGCAGCAUCAACGAGAAACAACAAUGAAGAAGAAGAAGAAGAAGAAGAAGAAGAAUGGGGUUAAUUCUGAAAAUUCUAUUUUGGUUUCAACUCAUUUGAAAGUUCUAUAAAUAUAAAGGCUUUGAUGAAGUGGAAGAGGUCUAAAAUGACAAAGAAGACAAUUUGAAGCUGUGGGGCAAGGUGAAAACUCUAGAACCUUUGUAGCCAUGUGCAAAACCAAGAAGCUCAUUUCCUGGAUGGAAUACAUAUACAUUCGUAAUCAAUGUAAUGCGAAGGUCACAACACGUUCCAACAUGUCAAAUGUGGAGAAAGUACAUGAUGCAUUAGACUAUGUACAUAACAUGUCAAACAUGGAGAAAUUACACAAUGCUGAUAUUUUUGCCCUUGAUUAUGAUCUAUAGGACAUUUUGAUGUACUGCAGUCGUUUCAGAGGAUCAAACUUCUAACAUUAUAAAUCAUGUUUGAUUUCGACUUUUUAGUUUAAUAUGAAUAAAGAAAAACUUCAUUAUAUACAA